AGUGAACGCUGGCGGUAGGCCUAACACAUGCAAGUCGAACGGCAGCACAGUAAGAGCUUGCUCUUACGGGUGGCGAGUGGCGGACGGGUGAGGAAUACAUCGGAAUCUACUUUUUCGUGGGGGAUAACGUAGGGAAACUUACGCUAAUACCGCAUACGACCUACGGGUGAAAGCAGGGGAUCUUCGGACCUUGCGCGAUUGAAUGAGCCGAUGUCGGAUUAGCUAGUUGGCGGGGUAAAGGCCCACCAAGGCGACGAUCCGUAGCUGGUCUGAGAGGAUGAUCAGCCACACUGGAACUGAGACACGGUCCAGACUCCUACGGGAGGCAGCAGUGGGGAAUAUUGGACAAAGGGCGCAAGCCUGAUGCAGCCAUACCGCGUGGGUGAAGAAGGCCUUCGGGUUGUAAAGCCCUUUUGUUGGGAAAGAAAAGCAGCAGGUUAAUACCCCGCUGUUCUGACGGUACCCAAAGAAUAAGCACCGGCUAACUUCGUG
rnacentral:rRNA from 1 species